UAGGGAAUCUUCGGCAAUGGGGGGAACCCUGACCGAGCAACGCCGCGUGAGUGAAGAAGGUUUUCGGAUCGUAAAGCUCUGUUGUUAAGGAAGAACGAGUGUGAGAAUGGAAAGUUCAUACUGUGACGGUACUUAACCAGAAAGGGACGGCUAACUACGUGCCAGCAGCCGCGGUAAUACGUAGGUCCCGAGCGAUGUCCGGAUUUAUUGGGCGUAAAGCGAGCGCAGGCGGUCAAUUAAGUCUGAUGUGAAAGCCCCCGGCUCAACCGGGGAGGGUCAUUGGAAACUGGUUGACUUGAGUGCAGAAGAGGAGAGUGGAAUUCCAUGUGUAGCGGUGAAAUGCGUAGAUAUAUGGAGGAACACCAGUGGCGAAGGCGACUCUCUGGUCUGUAACUGACGCUGAGGCUCGAAAGCGUGGGUAGCAAACAGG
rnacentral:rRNA from 1 species